AGGGAAGCUACUAAGGGUUCAUGGUGGAUGCCUUGGCGCCAAAUGCCGAUGAAGGACGUGGGACACUGCGAAAAGCCCCGGUAAGCCGUGAACAGGCGAUUGAACCGAGGAUAUCCGAAUGGGGAAACCCACCGUUGCGAACCAACGGUAUCGCAUAUUGAAUAUAUAGAUAUGCGAAGGGAACCUAGGGAACUGAAACAUCUAAGUACCUAGAGGAAAAGAGAUUAUUCCCUGAGUAGUGGCGAGCGAAAAGGGAAAAGCCCAAACCAGAUGAGCUUGCUUAUCUGGGGUUGUAGGACCUGUAACAUUGGAGUUACAAAAUAUUUUGCUAGAGAAAUGGUGUGGGAAAGCCAACCAAAGAAGGUAAUAGUCCUGUACUCGAAAGUGAAAUAACUCCAACAGGUAUCCUGAGUACUGCCGGGCACGCUAAUCCGGCAGGAAUCUGGGGAGUCCACUCUCCAAGGCUAAAUACAUUUGGUGACCGAUAGAGAACAAGUACCGUGAGGGAAAGGUGAAAAGUACCCCGAUAAGGGGAGUGAAAUAGAACCUGAAACCAUGGACCUACAAGCAGUCGAAGAGCUAAUGGCGGGUUGGUGCUCUGGUGAAAGCCAGGUGCGCACCGCUAUGCUUAACGGCGUGCCUUUUGGAGAAUGAGCCUGCGAGUUAAUUUUUGUGGCAAGGUUAAGAGAGAGACACUCGAAGCCGUAGCGAAAGCGAGUCUGAAUAGGGCGAAUGAGUCGCAAGGAUUAGACCCGAAACCGGGUGAGCUAACCAUGGUCAGGGUGAAGCGAGUCUAAACGCUCGUGGAGGCCCGAACCUACUAACGUUGCAAAGUUAGGGGAUGAACUGUGGUUAGAGGUUAUAUGCCAAACGAACCCGGAGAUAGCUGGUUCUCCCCGAAAUAGCUUUAGGGCUAGCGUUAUGUGUUCAGUAGCGGAGGUAGAGCACUGAAUGGGCUAGGGGGCUUAUAGCUUACCAAACCCAAUCAAACUCCGAAUGCCGUUACUCCAGAGCAUAACAGUCGGACCGUGGGAGAUGAGUUUCAUGGUCGAGAGGGAAAGAGCCCAGACCAUCGGCUAAGGUCCCCAAAUCUAGACUAAGUGGGAAACGAUGUGGAGUUGCUGAUACAACCAGGAGGUUGGCUUAGAAGCAGCCACCCUUUAAAGAGUGCGUAACAGCUCACUGGUCGAGUGAUUCUGCGCGGAAAAUGUAACGGGGCUAAGUCUAGUACCGAAGCCAUGGGUUUUAGUGUAAAAACUAGAGCGGUAGGGGAGCGUUCUGUCAGCGGUGAAGGAUGACUGUAAGGACAUCUGGAGCGGACAGAAGUGAGAAUGCAGGCAUGAGUAGCGUAAAACACGUGAGAACCGUGUUCACCGUAAGUCUAAGGUUUCCGACGCCAGGUCAAUCCGCGUCGGGUUAGUCAGGACCUAAGCUGAGGCCGAGAGGCGUAAGCGAUGGAUAUCCGGUCAACAUUCCGGAACCACUUGAAAGGAGCGAUGGGGGGACGCAACCGAGGUAGGCCAGCCUGUGAAUGGUAUACAGGUGCAUAUUACGUCAGACGAUGAGGACCGUAGGAAAAUCCGCGGACUGAGUUGAGGUAAUGUGGCGAGCCCUAGAGGCAGAAGUGAGCUGAGCCUUGUUGCCAAGAAAAGCCUCUAAGCGAUGAAUUUCAAGUGCCUGUACCGCAAACCGACACCGGUAGACGGGUAGAGUAUACCAAGGUGAACGGGAGAACCUUCGUUAAGGAACUAGGCAAAUUAACCUCGUAACUUCGGGAGAAGAGGUGCCUCCGGGUGUGAUGCAAAGAGCACCCAGAGGUCGCAGAGAACAGGCCCUGAUGACUGGUUACCAAAACCACAGGUCUCUGCAAAGCCGUAAGGCGACGUAUAGGGGCUGACACCUGCCCAGUGCCGGAAGGUUAAAGGGAGGGGUUAGGACUAGAUCCGAAGCUCUGAACUGAAGCCCCGGUGAACGGCGGCCGUAACUAUAACGGUCCUAAGGUAGCGAAAUUCCUUGUCGGGUAAGUUCC
rnacentral:rRNA from 1 species